GAUUAGUGUCUAAAAGUGCUUCAAAGAUAUAUCAUUUAGAAGGCAUUUUACAUUCACUUUGUUUAAAAAUGCUAAUGUUAGUCUCUAAUUCCAAUUCUCAUGCUGUAAAUUCAAUUUCCAUAAAUACAUGGUUAAAAAUGCAAUUAAUUGAAAUACGUAUUUACAUACAUGGCGGCAUGAGUAUUAUACAUUUGAAAGAGUAUCUAUUUGAUGUAUUUCACAUGUAUUUUCAAUUUAUUACAAGUGGAGCAAGUGGAGGAAAAUAAUGUUGAAAAGUCAAAAAUAGUGACUGCCUCAAGCAAGAAGCAGCUGUUGAUAAAAUAAUCAUAACUUGAGCUGCAGACAUUGGAUCGAGGUGAUUCAAGUUGUGUUGGAAAGAUAAGGCACGUUUCUACAACUUUCAUGUUUUGGAAGAAGUCAAAUUCGUAUCACAAGGCAGCCAAGAUUACCGUGCAAAGUCCAGCUUGUUACCUGCCGGAUACAGCUUUACCUGUGAAGCAGCACUUAUUGUUUUUGUCAUAUCUGGAGUUAUAUAGAUCCAAUGAACCUGAUAUUUGAACCAAUGGAAAGAUAACUCAAGUGGAAAUAAUUUAUCUGUUGAUCAUAAGUCCAAAUUCGCUGGAAAAUGUAUCUGGAAAUUGGCAUCAAGUUGCAUGUUCCAGCUGUCUUGAAGCUGGACAGAAACAAGUUGCAUUGCCUACUUGAAUUUUGGAUGUUCCUUUGCCUAUAAAAGGGGACCUUGGCCACGAUUUUGAGGGAAUUCCUCUCCAUCAUAUUCUAGUUUCCUUCAUUUUCUUUGUAACAUUUCACUAUGUAUUCCUAAACAUUUAGCUAGAGCUAGGGGUGAAACUUUGAUGAAUGUUUAGUAUUGUCUUUGAUCUUUCAUUUUGUUCUUCAAUGUUCAUCUUCUUACUUGGUUGAAGUUUGUGUUCUACAAAUGGUUUUGGUUUGUUAAAGACUUUGAUUUAUUGUUGACAAUUUUGGCACAAUAAAUGCUUAGAUAAUCUCUACAUACCAACAACUUAUUUUGACAUAUUCUCUCAAACAAUUAUCAAGAUCUAUCUUUUAAUAUAUUUGUGGUUAAUGUUUUAUCUUCCAUAUGAGAUCAAUCCUUAGUUGAUUUUCAUAUGAGUUAAAUUAAAGAUCAAGUGCAAUUUCUACUCAUUUAUCCAAAGUGAAUCCCCGAUGCUCUAGUGUUCGUCUCAAUCGUAUUUCCACCAACCGUUCAUUUCUCAUAGAAUAGUUUAUUUCCUUCCAAUUCCCUGUGGUUCGACCUCGGACUUCCGAGAUUUACUACUUGCGACAACCUGCACUUGGGUUUGCAACCUUAAAGUUGUAGCA
rnacentral:lncRNA from 1 species